AUAAAUCUUCGAGGCAGGGUGUAAGUCCCUACCGGCGGUAUAGCCCGCAAGCCGUAUGGUUGAUCUGGUUAAAUUCCAGAGCCGACAGUUAUAGUCUGGAUGGGAGAAGAUUCGU
rfam:Turicibacter sp. H121, complete genome.